rnacentral:rRNA from 1 species
CAGCCGCCGCGGGAAUACGUAGGGUGCAAGCGUUAAUCGGAAUUACUGGGCGUAAAGCGUGCGCAGGCGGUUUUGUAAGUCAGAUGUGAAAUCCCCGGGCUCAACCUGGGAACUGCGUUUGAAACUACAAGGCUAGAGUGUAGCAGAGGGGGGUAGAAUUCCACGUGUAGCAGUGAAAUGCGUAGAGAUGUGGAGGAAUACCAAUGGCGAAGGCAGCCCCCUGGGUUAACACUGACGCUCAUGCACGAAAGCGUGGGGAGCAAACAGGAUUAGAUACCCCCGUAGUCCCUGUCUCUUAUAC